GGUGUAGCGGUGAAAUGCGUAGAGAUCUGGAGGAAUACCGGUGGCGAAGGCGGCCCUCUGGACGAAGACUGACGCUCAGGUGCGAAAGCGUGGGGAGCAAACAGGAUUAGAUACCAUGGUAGUCCACGCCGUAAACGAUGUCGACUUGGAGGUUGUGCCCUUGAGGCGUGGCUUCCGGAGCUAACGCGUUAAGUCGACCGCCUGGGGAGUACGGCCGCAAGGUUAAAACUCAAAUGAAUUGACGGGGGCCCGCACAAGCGGUGGAGCAUGUGGUUUAAUUCGAUGCAACGCGAAGAACCUUACCUGGUCUUGACAUCCACGGAAGUUUUCAGAGAUGAGAAUGUGCUUUCGGGAACCGUGAGACAGGUGCUGCAUGGCUGUCGUCAGCUCGUGUUGUGAAAUGUUGGGUUAAGUCCCGCAACGAGCGCAACCCUUAUCCUUUGUUGCCAGCGGUCCGGCCGGGAACUCAAAGGAGACUGCCAGUGAUAAACUGGAGGAAGGUGGGGAUGAUGUCAAGUCAUCAUGGCCCUUACGACCAGGGCUACACACGUGCUACAAUGGCGCAUACAAAGAGAAGCGAACUCGCGAGAGCAAGCGGACCUCAUAAAGUGCGUCGUAGUCCGGAUUGGAGUGUGCAACUCGACUCCAUGAAGUCGGAAUCGUUAGUAAUCGUGGAUCAGAAUGCCACGGUGAAUACGUUCCCGGGCCUUGUACACACCGCCCGUCACACCAUGGGAGUGGGUUGCAAAAGAAGUAGGUAGCUUAACCUUCGGGAGGGCGCUUACCACUUUGUGAUUCAUGACU
rnacentral:rRNA from 1 species